UGGGGAAUUUUGGACAAUGGGCGCAAGCCUGAUCCAGCCAUGCCGCGUGUCUGAAGAAGGUCUUCGGGUUGUAAAGGACUUUUGUCAGGGAAGAAAAGGCUGUUGCUAAUAUCGACAGCUGAUGACGGUACCUGAAGAAUAAGCACCGGCUAACUACGUGCCAGCAGCCGCGGUAAUACGUAGGGUGCGAGCGUUAAUCGGAAUUACUGGGCGUAAAGCGAGCGCAGACGGUUACUUAAGCAGGAUGUGAAAUCCCCGGGCUCAACCUGGGAACUGCGUUCUGAACUGGGUGACUAGAGUGUGUCAGGGGGAGGUAGAAUUCCACGUGUAGCAGCGAAAUGCGUAGAGAUGUGGAGGAAUACCGAUGGCGAAGGCAGCCUCCUGGGAUAACACUGACGUUCAUGCUCGAAAGCGUGGGUAGCAAACAGGAUUAGAUACCCUGGUAGUCCACGCCCUAAACGAUGUCAAUUAGCUGUUGGGCAACUUGAUUGCUUAGUAGCGUAGCUAACGCGUGAAAUUGACCGCCUGGGGAGUACGGUCGCAAGAUUA
rnacentral:rRNA from 1 species